rnacentral:rRNA from 1 species
CUCAGAUUGAACGCUGGCGGCAGGCCUAACACAUGCAAGUCGAGCGGAAACGACAACAUUGAAUCUUCGGAGGAUUUGUUGGGCGUCGAGCGGCGGACGGGUGAGUAAUGCCUAGGAAAUUGCCUUGAUGUGGGGGAUAACCAUUGGAAACGAUGGCUAAUACCGCAUAAUGCCUACGGGCCAAAGAGGGGGACCUUCGGGCCUCUCGCGUCAAGAUAUGCCUAGGUGGGAUUAGCUAGUUGGUGAGGUAAUGGCUCACCAAGGCGACGAUCCCUAGCUGGUCUGAGAGGAUGAUCAGCCACACUGGAACUGAGACACGGUCCAGACUCCUACGGGAGGCAGCAGUGGGGAAUAUUGCACAAUGGGCGAAAGCCUGAUGCAGCCAUGCCGCGUGUAUGAAGAAGGCCUUCGGGUUGUAAAGUACUUUCAGUUGUGAGGAAGGGUGUGUAGUUAAUAGCUGCGCAUCUUGAUU